UACGUAGGGGGCCAGCGUUGUCCGGAUUCAUUGGGCGUAAAGCGCGGGCAGGCGGCCCGUUAAGUCGGCCGUGAAAGCGCCGGGCUCAACUCGGCGAGGACGGGCGAGACUGACGGGCUCGAGGUUGGCAGAGGGCGGUGGAAUUCCGGGUGUAGUGGUGGAAUGCGUAGAGCUCCGGAGGAACACCAGUGGCGAAGGCGGCCGCCUGGGCCAAUACUGACGCUGAGCCGCGAAAGCGUGGGGAGCGAGCCGG
rnacentral:rRNA from 1 species